rnacentral:RNase_MRP_RNA from 17 species
UCCCCAGGUGAAAGUCCCCGGGCAGUUUUGGCCGAAGGGAACACCCGCAGUAGGGUUCGCACCGGAGAUACCUCCAAUCCCAGCGGCACUCGGAAUCCGUGGCGGGAAAGGCGUGCGCGAUUCGC